AUGCACGCUGGCGGCGUGCCUCAUCCCUGCAAGUCGAGCGCACGGACGAGAAGCUUGCUUCUCUGAUGUUAGCGGCGGACGGGUGAGUAACACGUGGAUAACCUACCUAUAAGACUGGGAUAACUUCGGGAAACCGGAGCUAAUACCGGAUGAUAUUUUGAACCGCAUGGUUCAAAAGUGAAAGACGGUCUUGCUGUCACUUAUAGAUGGAUCCGCGCUGCAUUAGCUAGUUGGUAAGGUAAUGGCUUACCAAGGCAACGAUGCAUAGCCGACCUGAGAGGGUGAUCGGCCACACUCGAACUGAGACACGGUCCAGACUCCUACGGGAGGCAGCAGUAGGGAAUCUUCCGCAAUGGGCGAAAGCCUGACGGAGCAACGCCGCGUGAGUGAUGAAGGUCUUCGGAUCGUAAAACUCUGUUAUUAGGGAAGAACAUAUGUGUAAGUAACUGUGCACAUCUUGACGGUACCUAAUCAGAAAGCCACGGCUAACUACGUG
rnacentral:rRNA from 1 species